rnacentral:misc_RNA from 1 species
AUAAGCCCGAGCACGGCGAGGCGAGUUGGCACACAAGAACGAUCAAACAGAGAAACUCCGGCACGAGGACCAGCUAUAACCACACCCACCGAACAGACUCCAACCAAAAAAGCAUCUGACGAGGAAGGAGAGAAGAGCAGCAGCAACAAAACGUGCGCCAGCGAGAGAGAAUCGUAAACCAAAAGGAAAGCAUACGGACACACACAGAGGGACUGCAUCUCCAACCCCCCUCUGUGCUUCUUCUUCCUCCCUCAAGCAACCUCUCUCUUCUUUCAUCGUUUAGCUGUCAUUUUGUUCCACACCCACCCAUCCCUUUUGGGCCUCUCCGUCUUUCGCUUGUGUUUGCUUGCUCGUGUGUGCCAUCAUCAGCAUCAGCCCCUCCCCCUCUCUCUUUUUGUUUCUCCUCGCUUAUUUCUCUCUGCUCCCCUUCUCUCCACAAGAACGUGCUCUGACCAUUUUUGUGCCCGCGCGCGCGUGCGCACGUGUCUCUCUGUGUGUGUGUGUACGCACACUUCAGGGAACAAAACACGGCUGGCGUCACCGACGCAGAGAAACGAAAAAAAAAAGUGAAGCGGCCCGCUCAAGCACGGGAAACUCAGAGCGACGAGAAGAGGAGGAGAAACGGCAUCGAAGGCAUUCUGCACUGCCAGCGAAACACAGAAACGAGAUUGUCGCCGCCGAAAAGAGAAAAAGGUAAGAAAAAAGGUGAGGGAGGCAGACGAAGGUGGACCCUUUCGGACCACGCACAUCGACCGCCACCACCGCAACAGCAGCGGAAUUCAAGCUGGUAUCUAUCUUCUCCAUCAAAAAAACGGACAGAAAGGGAAGGGAGGGGGCGCAAGUUUCACCGUGUUGGGCAACGAGGUAUCUUACACCCCCCUGCCUACAACCGCAAUCCAAUAAGCUCUCCCACGGGCAGUACUUUUCUUGCUGGCAAGGGUCCGGGGUGUGCGUGGACACGCGGUUAGGGCCACCGCAGCACCAGAGAAGCGCAGUGGAGGCUAGGCGAACACGCAGGCUAUCGACGUUUGGGUGCGCUUAACGUACACUCUAACCUUCGAGCACAAGGAACACACACACACACACACACACGAAAACACUCAGAAACGAAUUGCGAAUCAGCGAUUCAUCCUUGCUACUCUGACUGUCCGAACAGAAAGUGACACGCAUCCUCCUCCUUUUCUCUUUGGCUCUCGCUCUCUGUGGCUCCCGUCUUUUGUGACUCUUCUGCUUUUUCCUUGGCGUCGCCUGGUCUUGGAUUUUGUCGUUGCGCUGCCGUGCGUGUUUGCGUGCUACUGUUGUCCUGCACGUAUGUAGCGAUAUCGCCAUUUGUCCCCUCUUUGUUUCCAUUCGUGUACAGACACAAACACACUCUGACCACAUCACCGACAAGAACAGCGGCAGCAGCGCAACGAAACAAAAUAGGGAAGCGAAAACGAGGGAACUGUUAUUCGAGGCUGACGCUCUGACCACCGGACACGGCUCACAUUUUCUGUCCUCUCUGGAUGCGCAUGUGGUUGCGUGCGUCGUCAGCAUUUCGUGUCAUCGAAUAGUUUCCGUUUUUUUUAUGUUGUACUUUUUUUUGCUGGCUUUCCUUCAAGGUUGUUAGUACUUCCUCUUCUCGGGCGAGGCUGCGCCGUUCCUUGUUUUCCGCUUGUGUGAGUGUCGGGCGUGCAUACGUUUUGCACGUGUGUGAGGACCCCCUCAUAUGUAUUUCUUUUUUUUCCCUUCUGCUGCGGUCAUUUUUGUGUUUGCCGUUUCAAAUUUGUGCUUCCCGCGUCGUUUGUGUGUGUGUGCGUGCGGUGCCCUCGAGCGCACACGUCUCCCUCACCCUCCCAGCUGGGAUGAACAUACGUGUCUGACCGUUCUGCAUGUGCGUGCGCGUGUGCGCGUGUUUGCUUGUUUCUUUCAUCUACACCCCCUUUUUUGUCCGUGCUUCGUCCUGCGUAUCAUCUUGGCUGCGUGGUAUCUUUCUUCCCCUGCCGGCGUGACUAUUCUCUCCUCGCUUUCCUCCCUUUUUUCCGUUUUCCGAGCUCAUCAAUCUUUUGACUGCGUCUGGGCUCUCGUCCUCUUUUUCUUAGAUUUAUUUUUGUAUUUGCUCUGGGGUUUGCGUGUGUCGUUGGGUGGAGUCGCUUCUUUGUUCGCCCCCGAGUCUCUCCGCGUUCGGGUGCUGCCCCUCCCACGCCCUCCCUCCUGUGCUAAUCGUCAUCGAGGAUUCACGUAGCCACGAGGGUACACAGGGAAGAAAGGAGGACACCGUCAGACACGUCGCGAAAGUGAGAACAGGCAAGGAGGGUCAACAAGCGACGCUGUUGCCAGCGGCAAGGCAGGAGAGAACGAGGAACUGAACUGACCUUCCCUUGGGAGGAACGACGAGUGGGCACGAAGCCUCCCGCUAAAAGAAAAAGAAAACAGGCACGCAGGAUAAGGGUCACAACAAGGCUGAAGUACCCAACGGUUUUUGGACGGUCACAGGCAUACAUACAGACGAAGGGAAGCAAAAUACACGGAAGUGCACGGAGCGACACAACGGCAGAUAGGGAUUAGCGGUCAACAGCAACAACAAAAAAAAAACAUAGCCACUGCACUCUCACAAAACUGCGCUUUUUUGUUUUUUUUUUUUAUUAUCUCCUUCGCUUCUUCUUGACUGUACGUUCGUGAGACUUAGCGCGGUUGUGAUUCCUUUCUUUUUGCCAGUUUUCCCCCCACCCUCGCCCCUCGCCUCGCCUCAUCCCUCACGUGGGCCCUCUACUGACCACUGCUCCGGUGCUUAUUCUCCAGCACAUCAGCCGUAUUGCUCCGUCGCAUCGCGAGACACAGUGAAAAGCGGAAGAGUACAUUCGAAAAAGGGAAGGGAAAGGUGAACGGGAUUCCAUUAGGCAGCGACCGAAACACACACACACACACACACACACACAAAGGAGGCUCCCCUCCCUCCACAGAAAGCACAGACAGCCGCCGCUGCGACACAGGAAAGGUAUAGGACGGAGAAAAACGAACACGCAAACAGAAGCGACACAUAUACAGGUACGCAAGCGCACGAGCUCACAGACCCCUCCUCCUACCCACCCAACCGCAGCCUUCUGUCUCGAAGCGUCUGCGUGCGUGCACGAUUUUUUUUGCCUUUUUAUUUUUAUUGUUUAUUUGUGCAGGGUUGAGCAGCUCCCUGCUUAUACCUCUGUUGCCCUCGUAAGCGAUCCGCUGCCUUUCGGUUGCUCCGCUCGUUCUAUCUCUCUUUCUCUCUUAUUUUCGUUUUUUCUUUUUGCGUUCCGCGCUUUUCUUUCUUCAUUGUUGCGUUUUCCCCCUUUUCGUCGCUCCCCACCGUGCACGUGUGCUCGCCCCUUCCUCCCUCUUCCUUCACCACCCACCACUCCUUGUGGAUCGGCCAUUUCUCUUACCCCACCCCCUUCUCCAUCCCUCCCUGCCGGCUCAACCAUAACCCGAGGCUCGCUAGUAGGGUCUUUUUAAGUGGCUUUUCACCCCCUCCCCUUCCUCAUUUUUCGCCCUCCCGCGCUCACGUUCGGUGCCGACCGUCUUCUCAUCCUGCACUUGCGACACUGUAGCGACGACAGCGACGACGUGUCCACCACCAUCACAGGGAGGGCUGCCAUUUCUAGCGAUUUCUCUCUUUAUCCGUUUCCUGGUUCUCUGUGUUGUUACUGACUGCCUCGUGCAUCGGUAUAUAGUAAAUCGGACGCUCUCUCGUUGUGGUCGUCGUAGUGGUCCACGCCACGAGGCGUAACGAGGAGCUCCCCUACGAAGUACGCAGAAGGCGAGGCAACAACAAACAGCCGAGAUACCGAUAGGAGAUCGGAUACAGGUCACGCACAUUCUUUUCUUUUGUUGUGCAGCCGUACAUCGUGCUCUCUCUCUGUUUAUUAGUUUUCUAUUCGCGAUUUUGUUCGGCUCAUUUUUUUUGUGUGUGUGCGUGUGUGUGCGUGCUUCUCUCCUGCGUGCGGUCGACCCCUUCACGCCUCUGUCCUUUGCUGUGCGAGCUGAUAUUUGCCAGUAUACACAUAUCUAUAUCUAUCUGUAUCUAUACGCGCAUAGGUUUUUUUUUUUGUUCUGGUGUUGCUUCCACUCUCUAUCUCCCUUCACAUCUCCCUCUGUAUUCCCUUUUACGCUGGUGUGACAUCACCGCACCGCUGCCAGCUGGUACGUUACCGCCGCGCCGUCUCCGCCUUCGUCGUCCGCUCCCGAGGGGCUUUGUGCUCUGCGUCCAUCUGCUCGCACACGAACACAGGAACACGAACGCUCGCACUCGCACUUACAGAGAGAGAGAGGUAAGGGCUGUUGCUCACGUCAGCGUCGAGAUAUCGCACACGGCAAAAAGAAUCAAGCCGAGCGACCUGCACACACAUACACACGUGUGCUUGUGUGAGGGGACUAUUCGAGUAUUCUGCUCUGCUAGACAGGCCCUCUACGUCUCCGAGGCUGCCCAGUCCUUGCCCAGCACGCAGAAACACGUAAGGACUUGCGUGCCUCUGCUGCACCGUACCUCCAACCUGCCUCUUCUCGUUUCUUUUUUUCGGUCGUUUCGCCGCUUUUCGUGUACGUGUUGUACCCUCGCUUUUCUCCUUUUUUUUUGAAUAGGACGAGUGCGGUGAGUGGAUCUGAUUGGACGGUUGUCGUGGCCAGCAGGAGAGCUGAGUCCUGCCAUCCUCGCUCACUUUCUUUUUGUUCGGUGUGUUUGAAAGCUCUUGGCUGUUUGGGGCGUGUGCUCCAUCCUCUUCUGCUUUUCUGCGCUUGACUUGUGCAGCAGAUUUUCCGUCCGUGUGCUCAGUUUCGUAGGCCAUCUCCCCUCUCCCUCUGCUUUCUGUGAGCGCGCGUGCGUACGCGUGUGUGGAUUUUGCAGGCUUCGCAUGCGUGUGUGUGUUCGUUUUUAUUAUUCAUUUUUUUUGUGUGUUUGGCGGCUGCGGCUUGGUAUUUCUCUCUCCCCUAUACACACGCACACACAUAUAUAUAUAUAUAUUUAUAUACUCUGUUUUGUUUUGUUUCUAUUUUCCUCUUUUUUUUGUCGUUGCCUCUUCUUCCCUCCUCCUCGUAACUUCUGCCUCCUCCCCCUCCCUUCCCUUCCCUUCCCUUUUCGCUCUUCCCUCUGUUGCAGGCUGGCAAUAACUGCUGCCCUUGUGCUCUUCGUGGUGCUCUAGCACACGCACGCACACUCCCUCACUGACUCUCUCACUAUCACUCCCUUUUUGUCUGCUGUUUCGCUUGUGCCCAUCCUCGAACCUUCUUUUUUUUUGCCGUGUCUUGUGGCUCUUUCCCUCUCUCGCACCCUCCUCCAGCCAUAUCCGAGUGCGUGACCUGCAUACGUACCUAGCGAUCUGUAUACGGGCGAAACAGCACACACAGAAAAAAAACCGAAAACGAAAGCUGCCGCUUGUGUUGGGUUGGCUCUCCACGUGUUCUUGCGUAGCUGCUGCAGUGCACCUGCACUCUUUCCAGGCUUCGAUUUCUGAAGUGUUUGUGCCCCCGCCAUACUACUCGAAGCGGUGCUCAUUUUCUGUUUUAUUUUUUUUUUUAUCCAGGCUGAACGGGCGAGCUCUUCGCGACGGAUGCAGUCGUUCAACGCCCCUUCAGCAGCCGUGGCAGGGUCGGAACCCGCCUCGCGGCAAAGCAGCGGAGCAACACUGCCGCUAUCACCGUUCUUGCCGCAGUCUUUCAGUAUGGAAAGUGAAGGACCGCUUGCAGGCACGCCGGCCGCCGCACCGGGGACAGCUUCGGCCAUGGCCAGAACCGUCACUUCGAAUGCCCCAACGUGCAUGUCUGCCGCCCAUGCUUUUGCCAGUGCGGCUCAACACUGUGCCUUUGUCUCUCUGUCCUCCGCCGCUACGUCGCACGCGGCAUCCACGUCUCCCACGCUGCCACCGCGACGACCACGCAAGCUGGCACUCGCCUCAGCACACAUGCUUGCUUUACCGCACGGAUCUCACGGAAACGGUAGCGGCAGCGGCGAGGAUCUGCUGUCCGAGCACACUGCCACACCACCAACGCCGUCUCCCGCGCUAGACGCAGACGCUUCGAGGCUGUGCGACAUGCAUAGCUUUCCAGACGAUGAGCCGCGACCUUCCAAUGACCCGGCUCACGGGGGCUUUGAGCCUCACCAUCGGCGCAUGCACGCACUGCCGCGGCUGUCAGAGGGCGCGCUGAGCGCUCCAGCGGAGUCCCGGACUGCCAACCCGCUGCCUUCAGCGCCUCGUCAGGCCGACGUCGGUGCUAUUUCUGAUGCCGAAGACGCUGCCGUGCGUGCUUGUACUAUGUCCGUGUCCGCGACAGCGGCGACCCUAGCCUCUACCAGGUCGCCGGCCAGGCGUGCAAGUGUGCCGCCGCCCCCACCGGCCCCCGCGUUCGAAACCCCUGCUGUGUCAACCUCUCCGCCGUUGACCAAGGAUAACCAGGACAACCUGAGCCCCAGUUACAGCUGCAGUGUGAGUAUCCCGUCGCCAUCGCCGGCAUUCAGUCCUUUCACGCAUCAGCCGUCGCUGCCGCUAAGCCCCGCCAUCGCGGCGUGCUGCCCGGCACGCGGAACGGAGCAGAAGGCCGUGCAGCGCCACCAGUCUCAAAGCGCGCCGCCGCGCACGGUCGUGCACAAUCUGCUGUCGGCAGGGUGUACAGCAGAGCCGGACAUGCCUGUGGUGCUCCCCGCAGCACGUCGCCGCUCAUCAUACGUCUCCGGCAGCACCAUGCUGGGCUCUUUUUGUCUCACGGAGGAUGGUGUCGAGAGCAGCGACGGGGGCGCUACAGCAACGGUGGAUACGCCACUAAUGCGAUCCAACACCAGCCGAGCCACCACCUUCUCCGGCGCAGCUGCCGCCGCUGCCAUGACCACGGCUAGCGCCACACCUUAUACAUCGCCUUCUCCGACCGCCGCGCAACGGUUCCGAAGCGCCUCUGCCCUGAUGCGAUACGCAUCCACUUUCUCGAACAAGGAUGACUCCUCUGUAAACGCCAGUGCUACUGCUGAGGCGGCGCUGCUGUCCACACCGUCGCAGUCACCGCCCCGCCCACCGUGCGCUCUCUCCACUGCGAUGGCCAGCGAAAUGCGGAGCGGCAGGGACAAGGACAACGGGGAGGUCACGGCUACGGCGCCCGCCGUGGCGGUGACAUCUGCGAUGCCUUCGACGUACCGUCUGCUCACAGCGCCGGCGACGGGCGCGCGGAGUGAGGACCUCUCUUGGCUGCUUCCAUCCUUCUCUGAUGGGAAUGCUCAAAUUUCCCUUGCCGCAGCUCCGCAGCGUCUGCACUCGUGCCUCGCCACCGAGUGCGACAGAGCCAUGCGUGCCAUGCAGCGGCAAGAGUUGUGGGCGGAGCAGACAGCCGCCGGCCGCGAAGAACUGCGGCGACAGGUGGAGGGGCAUGUCGUCGCAAAAUACCACAAUCGGUCAGAGGGGCUGUGCAAGGAUGCCUCGGCAUGGCGGCUUCCACAGGAGGCCCCGUGCCCAGAGCAGCAGCUGCUUUCUGACAAGGCUGUUCUUGUUCUUGACGAUGGUAGGAGCAGCGCGCGUUCUGCUGCUGCUAAAACGAUUGCCGUCGCCGGGGAUGCACCGCCGUCGCUGGCCCUCUUCCCGCGACUGAUAAGCACUUCAUUGUCCUGCAUGGGGCUCAGGCGGGGCACGGCGACGCAGCCCGAGGUACACGCGUCGACGUCGACUCGCUCCAAGCCUGCUGAAGACGAACAGGAUGCAGUCGCCGUGGGAUCACCUGUAGAGAAUGAGGAUUUGGAGGACAGCGCCAUCUUUGAAAAGUCAGGGCUGGCGGAGUCCCAGCGGCGGCCAAGCAGAAGCGAGGCUGCGGCUUCAGUGCCGCUGCCGCCUGGCGCGCCACGGUCUCGAGCGUCUGUGAGCUUCUUGGGCUCAUCCCUGUCGUAUGAGGCGGCAUUGCUCUCUGCAGCGCAGGAGAUGUCGGGAUAGGCCGCGUUGGUGCGCAGCAGUCGUCAACGUAGGGUGGGGCACGCGCGUGUGCGUGUGUCCUCUCCUUCGUAUUCCCGUCUACCCUCGCUUCUUUUCAUGUGCCGUUGGGAUUGCCGCAUGCAUGAAACGAAUGGAGCACAUAACGGGUGCGUGUGCUGGUGUGUCUGGUGACUGGAAUCCCCUUCCCUCUCCAACCACCACACCACCUUUUUCGUUCCUUUUUCUAUCAUGAAUGAGCGCCGCUGCACCAUCCUCUUGUAGUCUCCACACCACUCCUCCCCUCCCUCUCGACGGAUAUCUUCGGUGGACGUCGAACGCUGUUCUAAGCCCUGCCUUCACUGUCUCUCCCUCCUUUUUUUCCUCUCAUUCAUGUGCGCACGUGUGUGUGUGUGUGUGUGCUUGGUUGCUUCGUUCGCGUUUUCUGUGUUUUCUGUUUUGCUGGUCCCUUUCCAUGGCCGUUGUUGGCUUCGGUGUGCCUUGGUAUGAUUCGUGCAUUCCCGGCUCUCGCUUGGAUUUCUUGUGUGUUCGAUAUCUUCUUCCUGUAGCGCACGUGCUUGUGCGCCACUUUUCCCUGCCUACUUUCUGUAUCGCUGCGGUGCUUGGUGUUCGCGGCAUGCGUCUUCACGGUGGCAUUUCUCUCUUUAGCACUCCCCCUGUGCUGAACGCUUGUGUAUCAUCGCUUCCUCCGCCUGUGACCUCUGCUUUUCUGCUGCGCCUGGAGUCUCUGCGUGUGCUGCUGUUCGCUGUGUGCCCCAGCCCCUGCGUGUGUAUGCCUCUAUGACCCCGGCUGCGUGCGAAAGGGACGCGUGCGCAUGCUUCGAUGAACACGAAAGGGACGCGCAACAUGCUCACAGAACCGUCUGCCUAUCAUAUUUCACUUUAGCCUCCACGACGGGGUCUUUGCAGUUGUGACGCACAUGCAUGUGCACGCGCUCACACACACGCGCGCACUUGUUGUGCUUUCCCACCACCCUCCUGUCAUUCUCGUUUCGCUGCCUCUUCUUCGCCCCUUCUCCUUCUUUUUGUUUCUCUCUUCUGCUUCAGUGUCAGCGACAACCGGUGCCGCGGCCGCGCACCACGCGCGCGCGCAACGGGAGACGUCCAUGUGUACUCCAUGUGCAUUUUUCUUUAUGCCUUUACGUGUGUUCGCUUGUUUUCCUGCUUCGGCGAUGUGCCUUGCGGCCGUUUUUGCGGGGCUCGCGAAGGCAGUGAGGCAUGUAUCUGAUCGGAGCGAGACGGGAGGGAGGGAGGAAGGGGGUGAAAAAAAAGGGGAGUUGGGCUGGGCGGACCACCCGCCACGUCCGGGCUUCGGCCCCUUUUCUUUCUUGCGUUUUCUCGUUCACGCGUCCCUCAUCAUCUGUAACGGCAUACGCUCACCCAUUUCUGUCGAUGUGUACACCAUGUCUUCCUCAGCGACUCCCUUUACUCGCGUGAUACCCAUUCCGAAUGCUGCUCUUCUUCUUGAGAGAGAGAAAGGCGCAUUCUUUCUGGACAUCUUUUCGACUUGCGCUGCGUCUGAUCGAGACCACCUCCCCCGCAUUUUGUAAACUUCCUCCAACCUGGGCCAAUGAUCGGAGCGCGAGGAUGUGUGUGUGUGUGCUCUCUCUCUCUGCUUGCUUGGCUGGUGCAACGUACUUCUGUGCGUACUAUGGAGACGCACAGACACGCACGCCGGCGUAUAUACGCGCGCACCACUUCUCUGCUUCGACGCAGCAAUCCUGCGUUCUUGUGCGCCUUUUCCGUGCCUCGUUUUCGUUCAUUUACUGAUUUAUAUUUUGGGUCGCUGGCUCCUCUUGCGUCGUCGCUUUUCUCCCUUCCCGUUUGUUUCUGCUCUCGCCUUUGCCUGCCUUCUUUUUUUUUCCUUUCGCCAUGUGCUCUCUGCGCGCAUCGUGCGUACAUUGUGCGCAUAUCAUUUUUAUUCGUUUCGCCGGGGGGAGAGGGGGCCGAUGUCGUGCCCACGCAUGCUCCGCUCGAUGCACGUGCGAUGUGCCACUACUUUUCUAUUUUCCUUUCUUUUUCGUUUUCGCGUUUGUGUUGGUGCGUCUUGAUUCGGCUCUCCUCCUUGAUUGUUUGUUUGUAUGUGUCGUACGCGAAGCGUGUCAGCCUCUUUUCUGCACGCCCGCUGAGCUCCUCUCCACACCCCGUUCUUCUUUCCGUGUGCUGCGCUUAUCACGCUUCACGUAUUCCUUUUUCUUUGUUGUUGUCGUUGUUCGAAAGAAGCCGCAGCCGCACACUUAUACAUGUGAGGUUCAUACCGCCGUGCUUACCUUACUGGCUUUCUUUCUUGUCGUCUCGCGUACUCCGCUCUCAUUGGAUGCGACGUGUCACAUCUUCUUUUCCAUACCCGCCACCGAUCGUGCUUGGGGGGGGGUGAGGGAGGGAGGCUGUUGUCCAUUUUCGUGUUGAUGCGUGCGUUGGCUUUCGCCUAUCCGAAUGAUCUGAGGGUGCGGCGCGCUUAGUAGCCUGGGUCUUUCCUCCUCUCCAUCUCCUUCACUUCUUCUUUUCCAGUUCACUGUCGCCGUCGCCGUCCGUUUUACGCAUCGACGUUUUUGUGUCCGUUCGAUCUCAUUUUCUUCUGCAUGCUCAAACCUUGUUUUCAGCGUACUUUUAUGUUUUUCGGUACAUCACACGCGUCGCGUGAGGCUACGCCCGUUAUAAUGCCGUCGCCUUCUCUUUCUCUCUUUUUCUCCUUCUCCCCUCCUCUUUCCACUGCCGCGUACGGUACAUCCACUGUCUAGCGCGCAUCCCGUCGUGUAUUCCUUGUGCUGUCACCAUAGUUGAUUUCAAGUUCGCCGCUGCCAUGUUGGAUUUUUUUUUUCGCUUGCUUGCCAGCGUUCAUCAUACAAACCUCUCGGCUAUUUUGCAUGCUGUUUUUGCUCCGAUUACCGUAUCGUUACCGUCUUCUUCCUCGGCACAUGCCUGUCCCUGUCUGUUUGUCUCUCGCAGCACAGUACGCCCUUGUCCCCCUCCCCCACCCGAACUCUCUAGAGCGCGAGGCCCGCUUGCUUGCGUUUCCAACCCUUUUUUUUCGGUGGAGUUUAGUUCUUUGGAGCGUUUCCCCGGUGCUCUCACCAUGUCUGUGCUGCUCUCUUCGAACAAGCAAAACAACAACAUGUACGCCCACAUAUAUGCACAUGAGCGGCGCAGAGGGAGAGGGACGCGGAUGCUAAUGGAUAUGCGAUCGCCCUUUUAAGUCUUCCGCUCUCUCUUUCCCACUCUUUUUGAUUUGCAUGUGCUAUUUCAUUGUUGUUGUGCUUCUGCUGCAUGUGUGCGUAUCGGAUUCAGGCUCACUUGUUCCGUGUUUUUGUUUUGUUGUCGGCUUUUUCCCACCUUUAUCGGCUUCUUAACCAGUCGCCCUGUGCUAUCUCAUGCACAUGCACACGUAGAUAUGUGUACACGCAUCGGGUGGCGGAGUACAAACCACCCUCUUCCUUUCUCUCACUCUCUCCUUUCAGACCCCGAAUCUGGGCAGGCGUGUGCGUGUAUGUGUGCACGUUCUCGCUCAUGUCUCACGAUUCUCCUUUCUUGCUUUUUUAUAUGUUCGCGUUUUUCUUCGUUUUUCUUCCUCGUUCAUGUUCCGUCGAUGCGCCUCCGCCUCCCCGCUUUUCUUUCUCUGGUGGUUUUCUUGUCUUUCCUAACUCUCUGGCUGCUCGCCUGCACUUGACCGUUCGUAUGUUCAUCGUCGGAGACUCGUUCGUUGGAGGUCGGUGUGAAGGUGCGUUGUGCCGCCGAUCUCUCUCUUCCUCUCUCUGCAUCGCGCUUUUUCUUUUUUUUUCUUGUGUGUGUGUGUGCUUGUGUGCUGGAAGUGCGUUUCUCGGAUAGCUGUUCCGCUGUCCCAGGUGCGUGAGCUACGCAAGCCGCAGAAAGCGAGUGCGCGUUGAAUCCAUCGUGCUCAAGGACGCGCGUUACGCAUGCCAACGACACCCGCGCCAAUACACAUGUGCGCACUCACGCAUCCCCAAAGAAGCGCAGGCUCCACAGCGCACAUCUACUACGGCCAUGGCGGCUUCUGCUGCUGCUGCUGCUGCGACCACGGCGACUGUGCGGGUCGAGUGCUACCUCUCAAUGAUUCUUGUACACCUUUCUUUAUACGUCCUGACUAUCCUUUCUCUUCAUUGUCUUUUUUAGCCGUGGUAGCAAUCCUUUGGCGAUGUGUAUGGUGGGACAUGGUGCACUGCCGAGGUGCUGCUCACACUUGGCCGUCUUCUGCCGGUGGCAGUGGGGGGGUGCUCUUGGUUGUGCUGCUGACCCGGCAAUUUUUGUUUUGCGGUUUUGGUUGUGCCUUCUUUAUCGUUUUCUAUGUUUCUCUGUUUUCACUCAGCUUCACGGCUGAGCUGCUGCAGAGCUGGACACAUUUGCAGACUCAGACACGCGCAUGCUUUCUCUCACACACACAGACACGCUUUUACUCUCUUUCUAUACAUAACAAUUCGUUCACUUUUCACUCUGCAUCUUCUUGUGAGGCGGUGCCGGUGUCCAAAUCGACUUUCCCACCUUGCCCCAUCUGACGGACCGGUGCUACCUGCGCCAUGAACCGAGGCAUCGAACCCCUCUCUCUAUCUCUGUUUGUGUGCGUCCGCGUGUGGAGUACAUCUGGACUCGUUUUUAGGUGUUGUGUGGAGUCUUGCUCUCCUCUUUCGUUUCCUGUCUUUUAAUGUGCACCUCUUUUAUUCUUUUCGGCACGCCCACAAGGUUGCCCCUCCGCUUUACGUUCAUUCUCCUCAGUCCGAUGCUGCUGCUGCUGCUCUCAUUUCAUCUUCCGUCUCCGUCACCGCACAAGGGGCUGUGACCACCACCACGGCCGCUCCUCUGCUUGUUCGCCUCUCUUCCUUCAUCUGUCUCAUAUUUCUUCCGUUCGGGUUUCUUCUGUUUUGGUUUUCGCUGUUUGCUUCAUCGAUAGGCGCUUCAGUGGAUGCGUGUGCAUAUACCGCAUGACUAGUAUGUGAAUAGGUGUGCGUAGGUGACUCUAUACCAUGUGUCGAUGAGUGUAUGUGUGCGCGUCCGAUGGGGAUGCCUCUGUCUCCCUUUUCCUCGUCCCUCGUUCAACCAGCAAACCCUCUCCCCAUUGCUCACCGCAGCCUCAGAGAAUCCUGACCUUCUUCUUGGGCGACAGGAGUGGGUCUGCCGUGGCCAAAAAUGCGCAGUUUUGUUUUAGAUUUCAUUGCUUUCCUCUGCAGCCAGUGGGGCGUCGACGGCAACCAGUCAUUCGUGGACCAUGCACACGCCCACCUUCACGCCUCUACGCGAGGCUCGCCCUCUUUUCCUGCUUCGAAGUUCUGCCUGAAGUGCGCCUAGGCCUCAGGUACUGACGGAACACACACACACACACACGUGGAAGAAGGCCCAUAUGAGAAAAUGACGGAGCGAGAGAAAGAGCAAGGCUUGGGUCGUGGAAAAGGAGGGAAGGGAGAUGGGGUGACGGUAGUGGUGGCGGUGGCACAGGAAACGGGCUAUCCCCUCUUGGCGUACUUGUCGCUAUGCCAACCCUCUCCCCUUCUGUCUCUUUACGAGAAGAGGCGCACCACCCAACACCUCGCACGUGACGGAGGAUGGCUCUUCGCAGCUGGGAUGGACGUGGGUGCUUUUUUCGUUUAUCUAACGAACUGGCGUCGCACUUGGCAGAUAGCGAGGGCGAGGUACGCUCUUUGCGUCAGAUCGUGUGCGCUGUUUAGGCUGCGUCGAUGCCCCUCACCCCCCCCUCUCCCAACCGAAAGGGCGCCCAAACAACAUAAUAAGCG